CCCAGAGGAGCCAAACAGCUAUGAUCUAUCACAUCUUCCUGGUGAAGCCCAUCAGCUGCCAUGCCUGGAACAAGGACUGCACACAGAUCGCCAUCUGCCCCAACAACCACGACGUUCACAUCUACGAGAAGAGCAAGGCCAAGUGGACCAAGGUGCAUGAGCUCAAGGAGCACAAUGGGCAGGUGACAGGCACUGACUGGGCACCUGAGGGUAACCACACCGUGACCUCUGGCACAGACCGCAAUACCUACAUGUGGACGCUCAAGGGCAGUACAUGGAAGCCUACGCUUGUCAUCCUGUGGAUCAACCCUGCGGCCCGCUGCGUGCGCUGGGCUCCCAAAGAGAACAAGUUCGCUGUGGGCAGCGGCUCCUGCAUCAUCUCCAUCUUCUAUUUUGAGCAGGAGAAUGACUGGUGGGUAUUUAAGCUCAUCAAGAGGCCCAUCUACUCCACCGUGCUCAGCCUGGACUGGCACCCUAACAACAUGCUCCUGGCCGCGGGCUCCUGUGACUUCAAGUGCAAGAUCUUCUCAGCCUACGUUAAGGAGGUGGAGGAGCGGCCAGCCCCCACCCCAUGGGGCUCCAAGAUGCCCUUUGGAGAGCUGAUGUUCGAGUCCAGCAGCAGCUGCGGCUGGGUGCAUGGCGUCUGUUUCUCGGCCAGUGGCAGCCACUUCGCCUGUGUCAGCCACAACAGCACAGUGUGCCUUGCCAAUGCUGACAAGAAGAUGGCCAUGGCGACCCUGGCCUCUGAAACUCUGCCGCUGCUGGCCCUCACCUUCAUCACUGAGAACAGCCUGGUGGCAGUGGGCCAUGACUGCUACCCUGUGCUGUUCACUUACGACGGCACGGCUGGGAAGCUCAGCUUCAGCGCGCGCCUGGACGUACCCAAGCAGAGCUCUCAGCGCGGCCUCACGGUUGGGGAGCGCUUCCAGAACCUCGACAAGAAGGCAAGCUCAGAGGGCGGCACAGCAGCAGGUGCUGGGCUGCACUCGCUGCACAAGGUCAAUGUCAGUCAGAUCUCAGUGCUCAGUGGGGGCAAGGCCAAGUGCUUACAGUUCUGCAUGGAUGGUGGCAUGGGCAUCUGGGACGUGAAGAGCCGGGAGUCAGCUCUGAAGGACCUCAAGAUAAAGUGA